rnacentral:rRNA from 1 species
AUUGAACGCUGGCGGCAGGCCUAACACAUGCAAGUCGAACGAGUGGCGGACGUGUGAGUAAUGUCUGGGAAACUGCCUGAUGGAGGGGGAUAACUACUGGCAACGCUAGCUACUACCGCCUACCAUCAGCUGGGACCAGAGGGGUGUAGCUUGUUGGUGGGGUAACGGCUCACCAAGGCGACGAUCCCUAGCUGGUCUGAGAGGAUGACCAGCCACACUGGAACUGAGACACGGGCCAGACUCCUACGGGAGGCAGCAGUGGGGAAUAUUGCACAAUGGGCGCAAGCCUGAUACAGCCAUGCCGCGUGUAUGAAGAAGGCCUUCGGGGUGUAAAGUACUUUCAGCGGGGAGGCGUUACCCGCAGAAGAAGCACCGGCUAACUCCGUGCCAGCAGCCGCGGUAAUUC